rnacentral:rRNA from 1 species
UACAGAGGUCUCAAGCGUUGUUCGGAUUCAUUGGGCGUAAAGGGUGCGUAGGCGGCGCGGUAAGUCGGGUGUGAAAUCUCGGAGCUUAACUCCAGAACUGCCUUCGAUACUGGCGAUCUUGAGUCCGGAAGAGGUGAGUGGAAUUCCUAGUGUAGAGGUGAAAUUCGUAGAUAUUAGGAAGAACACCAGUGGCGAAGGCGGCUCACUGGUCCGGUACUGACGCUGAGGUGCGAAAGCGUGGGGAGCAAACAGG